rnacentral:rRNA from 1 species
UACGUAGGGUGCGAGCGUUAAUCGGAAUUACUGGGCGUAAAGCGUGCGCAGGCGGUUUUGUAAGCCAGAUGUGAAAUCCCCGGCUCAACCUGGGAAUGGCAUUUGGGACUGCAAGGCUGGAGUGCGGCAGAGGAGACUGGAAUUCCUGGUGUAGCAGUGAAAUGCGUAGAUAUCAGGAGGAAUACCGAUGGCGAAGGCAGGUCUCUGGGCUGACACUGACGCUCAUGCACGAAAGCGUGGGAGCAACAGG